UGGCAACAGUCGUCCUGACAACGGCCGAGUGGGUGACGACUUUUACGAAAAGGAUAACGAGACCGAAAAUGACCAAGAUGAGUACUACAGCGGAGCCUUGAAUGGACGCAGGAAACGGCGGAGGCGGUACCCGAAGCGCCACGGUCUCAGAUACGGAAAUGAAGCGUACGAGGGCGGCGACAGGACGCGCGGAACGGACCGCGAUAAGCAAUUCAGUCGGAGGGCAGGAGAGAUACAGGAGGAAGCCUCCCAGGGCUACGAAGAUACUCGGGAAGCCGUCAGCGAUAUGCUGGAUGCAAUGUCGCACAAGAGAAACGACGAUAACUGCAAGGAGGUCAAGCGAGACGGCAUGACGUGCUUCCAGUGCACCGACUCCGAAGGCAUGGAGACGGAGGACUGUGCCUACGCCGGCGGUGACCCCGAUGGUCGCCACACGAGCUACAGUGUCUCCUCGAGCUACGGCGAAACCCCUCGGAAAUCUCGCCCCUCCCGCGACCCUAGCGCCACCUAUACACCCGACCGCAGCGACGUUUACCGUCAAGUGAGGCGAGGCAGGAAGAGCCGCUCAGCCGAAGUGCGUGGUGGCGGUCCAGGUGGCGGAAACGGCGCCGAUUCUGCGGAGGCCUCGGGCGGUCCGCGCCUCCGUGAG